UUAUUAUUUAAUGUGUACUUUAUUGUUACCAGUACUUAAUUGUUGGUUACUGUUUAUUUCUAUCUUGUUGGUUGGAAAAUCCCUGAUUUGAUGGUGCUCUCGCGUAGUGUAUGUUUAUCUUGUUAUUAUUUGUAUUAUAAGGUUUAUUGUUUAGUUAUUUGUAUACUUGUACCAUUAUUAUUCUUUGUUAUAUUAAAUAGAGUAAAAUCUAUGAGCAGGUUUUUUUUCGUUUAAGGGGCUGGUAAACGAAGUUUUUAACUGUGGGGCAAAAAAAACGUUUUAUUAGGGAGGUAACGUUUAUAGUUACCUUACUUAAUAUUUUUAUUUGUAGGUAAUUUAUUAGUUAUUCUUUUAUUUGUACCAUUUUAUUUGUUAUUGUUUUAUAUAUGGUCUAAGUUUUAUUCUUGCUUUUUCAUUCAGUUUUCGUUUGUUCUAUAUGUAAGUUUGUGUGUGUUUUUUUUUAUAAUUCUAGAUGGGUUGUAUUUUUGUUUUUAAUUCUCAUUAGUUAUUAUUGGUUGAUCAAGUAUUCUUGUAUCUAGCAAUAUGUUUUAGUUUCGGUUAAAUUUUGUGCCAGCAGCCGCGGUUAUACCUUGGAGGCUUUUGAAUGUGUUCGGCAUGGGUAGUUUUAUUAUUUAAUCUAUUUGAUUUUAUUUUGUUAAUUGUUAGGUGAAAUUUUUUUUUUCGUUAUUUUUCUUUUAUUUAUUUGGAGGCUAUGAAAUUCUUGUUUAUAAACUAGGAUUAGAUACCCUAUUAUUUUGAAUGUUAAUGUUUUAUGUGCUUGAGUAGUAUUAGUUAUGUUCUUGAAACUUAAAGAAUUUGGCGGUAUCUCAUUCCUUCCAGAGGAAUCUGUCUCGUUAUCGAUAGUCCGCGUUGAACCUUACUUAGGCUUAAAAUUUGGUUUGUAUACCGCCGUUUAUUGAUUAUCUUUUUAGAGUUUAUUUAAUUUUCUGGUUUCUUUAUUUUGAUUUAUUUCAGGUCAAGGUGCAGCUUGUUUCUAAGUGGAAUGAUGGAUUACAUUGUUAUUUGUUUUAAUUGGAUUGUUGAUUUUAAUAUUGGCAUGAAAUUGGAUUUGGUUGUAAUAAUUUGUAGAUUGUUAUUAUGAUAGUUGGUUCUGGGAUAUGCACACAUCGCCCGUCGCUCUCGUUUAGUUGUUAAUGAGAUAAGUCGUAACAAAGUGGCUGUACCGGAAGGUGCGGCUGGAUUGAA
rnacentral:rRNA from 1 species